UACGGAAGGCAGCAGGGGGGAAUAUUGGACAAUGGGCGAAAGCCUGAUCCAGCCAUGCCGCAUGAGUGAAGAAGGCCUUCGGGUUGUAAAGCUCUUUUAGUGAGAAAGAUAAUAGACGGUACUCACAGAAGAAGUCCCGGCUAACUCCGUGCCAGCAGCCGCGGUAAUACGGAGAGGGCUAGCGUUAUUCGGAAUUAUUGGGCGUAAAGAGCGCGUAGGCUGAUUAGUAGUUAAAAGUGAAAUCCCAAAGCUUAACUUUGGAAUUGCUUUUUAAAACUGCUAGUCUAGAGAUUGAAAGAGGAUAGAGGAAUUCCUAGUGUAGAGGUGAAAUUCGUAAAUAUUAGGAGGAACACCAGUGGCGAAAGGCGUCUAUCUGGUUCAAAUCUGACGCUGAGGCGCGAAGGCGUGGGGAGCAAACAGGGAUUAGAUACC
rnacentral:rRNA from 1 species